UACGUAGGUGGCAAGCGUUGUCCGGAAUUAUUGGGCGUAAAGCGCGCGCAGGCGGUCCUUUAAGUCUGAUGUGAAAGCCCACGGCUCAACCGUGGAGGGUCAUUGGAAACUGGGGGACUUGAGUGCAGAAGAGGAGAGUGGAAUUCCACGUGUAGCGGUGAAAUGCGUAGAGAUGUGAAGGAACACCAGUGGCGAAGGCGACUCUCUGGUCUGUAACUGACGCUGAGGCGCGAAAGCGUGGGGAGCAAACAGG
rnacentral:rRNA from 1 species